ACGGGGGCCCGCACAAGCGGCGGAGCAUGCGGAUUAAUCGAUGCAACGCGAAGAACCUUACCAAGGCUUGACAUACACCGGUAACGCCCAGAGAUGGGUGCCCCUUUGUGGUCGGUGGACAGGUGGUGCAUGGUUGUCGUCAGCUCGUGUCGUGAGAUGUUGGGUUAAGUCCCGCAACGAGCGCAACCCUCGUCCUAUGUUGCCAGCGGGUCAUGCCGGGGACUCAUGGGAGAUUGCCGGGGUCAACUCGGAGGAAGGUGGGAUGACGUCAAAUCAUCAUGCCCCUUAUGUCUUGGGCUUCACGCAUGCUACAAUGGCCGGUACAAAGGGCUGCGAUACCGCGAGGUGGAGCGAAUCCCAGAAAGCCGGUCUCAGUUCGGAUUGGGGUCUGCAACUCGACCCCAUGAAGUCGGAGUCGCUAGUAAUCGCAGAUCAGCAACGCUGCGGUGAAUACGUUCCCGGGCCUU
rnacentral:rRNA from 1 species